AUCGGUAGACGGUACGGACUUAAAUCCGUCGACUUUCAAAAUCGUGAGGGUUCAAGUCCCUCUAUCCCCA
rnacentral:tRNA from 1 species